rnacentral:misc_RNA from 1 species
UCUCCGUUGGUGAACCAGCGGAGGGAUCAUUAAAGAGUUACCUAACUCCUAAACCCAUGUGAACUUACCUCUGUUGCCUCGGCAGGUCCCGCCUCACCUAACCCGGUGGACGCGGACAAGCCUGCCGGUGGCCCACGAAACUCUGUUUACUUCUUGUAUUCUGAACUCGUAACUAAAUAAGUUAAAACUUUCAACAACGGAUCUCUUGGUUCUGGCAUCGAUGAAGAACGCAGC